rnacentral:rRNA from 1 species
GACGGACGCUGGCGGCGUGCUUAACACAUGCAAGUCGAACGGAAAGGCCCUGCUUGCAGGGUACUCGAGUGGCGAACGGGUGAGUAACACGUGGGUGAUCUGCCCUGCACUUCGGGAUAAGCCUGGGAAACUGGGUCUAAUACCGGAUAGGAGCCAUUUUUAGUGUGAUGGUUGGAAAGUUUUUUCGGUGUAGGAUGAGCUCGCGGCCUAUCAGCUUGUUGGUGGGGUAAUGGCCUACCAAGGCGGCGACGGGUAGCCGGCCUGAGAGGGUGGACGGCCACAUUGGGACUGAGAUACGGCCCAGACUCCUACGGGAGGCAGCAGUGGGGAAUAUUGCACAAUGGGCGCAAGCCUGAUGCAGCGACGCCGCGUGGGGGAUGACGGCCUUCGGGUUGUAAACUCCUUUCGCUAGGGACGAAGCUUUUUGUGACGGUACCUAGAGAAGAAGCACCGGCUAACUACGUG